rnacentral:rRNA from 1 species
GAUGAACGCUGGCGGUAUGCCUAACACAUGCAAGUCGUACGAGAGUUUUUAACUCUAGUGGCGGACGGGUGAGUAACACGUGAGAAUUUGCCUUUAGGAGGGGGAUAACAAUUGGAAACGAAUGCUAAUACCCCAUAUGCUUUUGAGUGAAACGGAUUUAUCCACCUAGAGAGAAGCUCGCGGCUGAUUAGCUUGUUGGUAAGGUAAGAGCUUACCAAGGCGACGAUCAGUAUCUGGUUUGAGAGGACGAUCAGACACACUGGAACUGAGACACGGUCCAGACUCCUACGGGAGGCAGCAGUGGGGAAUUUUCCGCAAUGGGCGAAAGCCUGACGGAGCAAUACCGCGUGAGGGAAGACUGCCUAUGGGUUGUAAACCUCUUUUUUCAGGGAGGAAUAAAUGACGUGUACCUGAAGAAUAAGCAUCGGCUAACUCCGUG